rfam:Myotis lucifugus cont2.9976, whole genome shotgun sequence.
GAGACACCCUUAUGGAGUAGGACUUGUUUCAGUGGGGCUUUGGUGCUCACUGAGUCUGCCCCUUGAGUGUGUCGCU